AGCGUAGGCGGUUUGGUAAGUCAGGUGUGAAAUCCCGGGGCUCAACCCCGGAACUGCACCCGAUACUGCCGGACUUGAGUAAUGGAGGGGUAGCUGGAAUUCUCGGUGUAGCAGUGAAAUGCGUGGAUAUCGAGAGGAACACUUAUGGCGAAGGCAAGCUACUGGACAUUUACUGACGCUGAGGCUCGAAGGCCAGGGGAGCGAAAG
rnacentral:rRNA from 1 species